rnacentral:rRNA from 1 species
UACGUAGGGUGCGAGCGUUGUCCGGAAUUACUGGGCGUAAAGCGUGCGCAGGCGGUUAUGUAAGACAGUUGUGAAAUCCCCGGGCUCAACCUGGGAAUUGCAUCUGUGACUGCAUAGCUAGAGUACGGUAGAGGGGGGAUGGAAUUCCGCGUGUAGCAGUGAAAUGCGUAGAUAUGCGGAGGAACACCGAUGGCGAAGGCAAUCCCCUGGACCUGUACUGACGCUCAUGCACGAAAAGCGUGGGGAGCAAACAGG